rnacentral:rRNA from 1 species
CCUACGGGGAGCAGCAGUGAGGAAUAUUGGUCAAUGGGCGUAAGCCUGAACCAGCCAAGUCGUGUGAGGGAUGCAGGUUCUAUGGAUCGUAAACCUCUUUUAUAAGGGAAUAAAGUGUGGGACGUGUCCUGUUUUGUAUGUACCUUAUGAAUAAGGAUCGGCUAACUCCGUGCCAGCAGCCGCGGUAAUACGGAGGAUCCGAGCGUUAUCCGGAUUUAUUGGGUUUAAAGGGUGCGUAGGCGGUCGUUUAAGUUAGAGGUGAAAUUCCGAGGCUCAACCUCAGAAUUGCCGCUGAUACUGUUCGGCUAGAGAGUAGUUGCGGUAGGCGGAAUGUAUGGUGUAGCGGUGAAAUGCUUAGAGAUCAUACAGAACACCGAUUGCGAAGGCAGCUUACCAAGCUACUACUGACGUUGAGGCACGAAAGCGUGGGGAGCAAACAGGAUUAGAUACCCUUGUAGUC